rnacentral:rRNA from 1 species
CUGGGGGCCUCCCUAUCUGCAGUCGAGCGGACAGAAGGGAGCUUGCUCCCGGAUGUUAGCGGCGGACGGGUGAGUAACACGUGGGUAACCUGCCUGUAAGACUGGGAUAACUCCGGGAAACCGGAGCUAAUACCGGAUAGUUCCUUGAACCGCAUGGUUCAAGGAUGAAAGACGGUUUCGGCUGUCACUUACAGAUGGACCCGCGGCGCAUUAGCUAGUUGGUGGGGUAAUGGCUCACCAAGGCGACGAUGCGUAGCCGACCUGAGAGGGUGAUCGGCCACACUGGGACUGAGACACGGCCCAGACUCCUACGGGAGGCAGCAGUAGGGAAUCUUCCGCAAUGGACGAAAGUCUGACGGAGCAACGCCGCGUGAGUGAUGAAGGUUUUCGGAUCGUAAAGCUCUGUUGUUAGGGAAGAACAAGUGCGAGAGUAACUGCUCGCACCUUGACGGUACCUAACCAGAAAGCCACGGCUAGCUACAUGCUGUCAGCCGCGGUAAUACGUAUGUGCCAUGCGUUGACCGGAAUCAUUGGGCCCAACGGGUCUCGCAGGCGCCUUCUAAUUCUUAAGAUGAAAACCCCCUG